GCCUCGGUAGCUCAGCUCGGUCGGAGCGGCGGCCUUGUAUGACGAGAAAAGGAAAGCCGUUGGUCGCGGGUUCGAAUCCCGCCCGAGGCU
rfam:Miscellaneous Crenarchaeota group archaeon SMTZ1-55 WOR1_30_36_8317, whole genome shotgun sequence.